CGACACAGCAUGUAGCACCAACACUUUCUAUGAAUACAUUUUUAAAGUUUAUUUCUAACUUUAUGAUAUUAAGACGCGUUUAUAAAUCUAGCGACCCGAGAUGGAUGAACUAGGUGCAAAGAACUGAAGACAAAAAUUAUGCGCUUGUCACCGCAGUCCGUCAUAAAUGGACCAUCUGCCCGGUGUGAUGAUGCAAGACUGCAAGGUCGAUCCAUUAUGUCACCAUUCAAACUCAAACGGCAAGGUUCUACAAUUAAAAUAAAUUCUAAGUUGAAUAGAGGUCCUUAAAGUCCAUAUGAGAAGCUAAUAGUUGUUAGCGAGAUAUAUCAUUCUCAUGGUUUCAAGUGCACGUGUUAGGGCUCCCGAGAGGCGCAGCAGUCUAAGGCACUACAGUCCCUGGUUCGGAUCCAACCUAAAUCACACCCGGCCGUGAUUGGGAGUCCCAUAGGGCGGCGCACAAUUGGCCCGGGUUUGGCCGAGAUGGUGCAGAAGUCCUGAAUUCAACAGUGAAGGCUCUAAAGGAUGGGCAAGUUGUGGCUGUGCCAACGGACACAAUAUAUGGGCUGGCUUGCUUGGCUCAGAAUUCCAAUGCCAUCAAAAAGGUAUAAGUAAGCGUGCAUUGAUGGUGUUCGUAUCAUUGUUCUUGUGGCUCAAUGUCUUGCAACAUGCCUAACUCACACUAUAGGGCUGAGCUGAACUGGCCUGGCCCUGUUACGCAUCUAAUGUAGUUGCAAAAAUCUACCUUGCUGGACAGGACAAAAUGAAAAUAUCGGUGCCAACACAGUACAGUUUGCAUCAGCCCUAUAAUGUGAAUCAGGCAAUAUUGCAGCCUAGCCUAAAUGUUGUUUUUGGAUAGGGGACCUGUUGCCUGGCCCUGUCACUCUGAUUCUGGAACGAGCUGAAGUACUCAACACUGACCUCAAUAUCUUCACUCCGGUUAGACUUCCAUAGACAUGGACAAUUCACUGCCCCUAAAAGAUGACAAAUUAUACUGUAAUUCAUAAACCACUCAAUUUGAAAAUGUGUGUUGCUUUUCUGCAUGCUAGAUUUUGGAUUGGCAUUUAGUAAGUUAUUUAUUACAUGCAUUGGGCUGUUGGUGAUGAUGUGUUUACCUUUUACUUCCAGUUAGUAGUAGUGUGCAUCCCGGACCAGGCCUUCAUGAGACGCCUCUGCCAGAUGUGUCGGGAACCUCUUGCCCUCACCAGCGCCAACAUGAGCUCACACUCCAGCACUGAGGCUGUACAUGAGUUCCAGGAUCUGUGGCCUCAGUUAUCAGUGGUGGUGGAUGGCGGACCAAUAGGAGACAAGAGUCGGGUGGGAUCAACAGGCAAAUACCGCAUCAUCAGACCUGGCUGUGCCUUCUCUUCCACAGUUCAUGUGCUAGAGCACAAAUAUGGACUGUCAGAAGACACGGGAUGAGUGAGGUUUGCCCCCUUCAAAUUCAUACCACAUGCUGAAAUGUACAACCAGCAAGAACCUGUGCUUACCAUGGCCAAAUACAACUCUGAAUGAUGGCAAUGCCUGCAACGCUGAGGCGAGUGAUGAUUUCAAAAUUUCUAAAGGAGGGACGGUCCUUUUGCACAUUGCAUGCUAUUGUGGAAUGCUCUGGGUUUCUUGUAAAACAUAAGGGAUUUGUUUUUGUCUUUCUGGGUUAUAAGCUGUCCAAGCAUUGUUGUUUCUAUGGGAAAACCCUUUUUUUCACAAAUUGGUCUUCUGACCAAUCAGAUCAGCUCUGAAAAAUAUCUGAUGUGAUUGGUCAGACCAAUUGGUGGGGAAAAGAAUAUCAGGAUUGGGCUGCCUGUGUAAAUGCAGCCUAUGAGCUGUGAUCUAGUGUAUUAUUGCUCAACAGUUUUGAGUACCUGAUUACUGGUUUGUAUAAUGGACCAAUGAGAGUAUGUUGUUGACAAUAAAUGGCAUGCAUUAUGCAGAUCAUGAUGGCUUGUGUUGGUUUUCUCUCUUCGCCUAUAGUACUGGGUGAAUGUCAGUGUGGUGGAUGAACUACUGCAGAAGCUCCUGUCCACAGAACACUCUCAAUUACUUUUUUUUGAUAAAACGAAACUGCUGUGGACAUGGCGUUUCCCCUUGGCUGAAUUGGUCUGGCUGCAAUCACAUGCUCCGAUACCCCAACAUCUCUGUGGAGCCCUCAGACUCUCCCUGGUGCACUGACAUUAA